rnacentral:rRNA from 1 species
CCUACGGGUGGCUGCAGUGGGGAAUAUUGCACAAUGGGGGAAACCCUGAUGCAGCGACGCCGCGUGAGUGAAGAAGUAAUUCGUUAUGUAAAGCUCUAUCAGCAGGGAAGAAAAUGACGGUAACUGAGUAAGAAGCACCGGCUAACUACGUGCAGGCAGCCGCGGUAAUACGUAGGGGGAAAGCGUUAUCCGGAUUUACGUGGUGUAACGGGAGCGUAGACGGGCGUGCAAGGAUGAAGUGAAAGGCAGGGGCUCAACCCCCGGACUGCUCUUGAAACUGGACGGCUUGAGUGCAGGAGAGGGAAGUGGAAUUCCUAGUGGAGCGGUGAAAUGCGUAGAUAUUAGGAGGAACACCAGUGGCGAAGGCGGCUUACUGGACUGUAACUGACGGUGAGGCUCGAAAGCGUGGGGAGCAAACAGGAUUAGAUACCCCAGUAGUC